GACGAACGCUGGCGGCGUGCCUAAUGCAUGCAAGUCGAGCGACGCACAUCGGAGGGGUAACCCACCGAUAUGACGGAGCGGCGAACGGGUGAGUAACACGUGAGCAACCUGCCCCACAGAUCGGGAUAGCCCAGGGAAACCUGGAUUAAUACCGAAUACCCUCGAGUAACCACAUGAUUGUUCGAGGAAAUGCCUUUGUGCUGUGGGAUGGGCUCGCGGCUUAUCAGCUAGUUGGUGGGGUAACGGCCUACCAAGGCAUCGACGAGUAGCUGGUCUGAGAGGACGAUCAGCCACACUGGGACUGAGACACGGCCCAGACUCCUACGGGAGGCAGCAGCAGGGAAUCUUGCGCAAUGGGCGAAAGCCUGACGCAGCAACGCCGCGUGGGGGAUGAAGGCCUUCGGGUUGUAAACCCCUUUCAGGAGGGAAGAAAUUGACGGUACCUCCAAAAGAAGCCCCGGCUAACUACGUG
rnacentral:rRNA from 1 species